rnacentral:rRNA from 1 species
AGUGAACGCUGGCGGUAGGCCUAACACAUGCAAGUCGAACGGCAGCACAGUAAGAGCUUGCUCUUACGGGUGGCGAGUGGCGGACGGGUGAGGAAUACAUCGGAAUCUACUUUUUCGUGGGGGAUAACGUAGGGAAACUUACGCUAAUACCGCAUACGACCUACGGGUGAAAGCAGGGGAUCUUCGGACCUUGCGCGAUUGAAUGAGCCGCUGUCGGAUUAGCUAGUUGGCGGGGUAAAGGCCCACCAAGGCGACGAUCCGUAGCUGGUCUGAGAGGAGGAUCGGCCGCACUGGAACGUAGACACGGUCCAGACUCCUACGGGAGGCAGCAGUGGGGAAUAGUAGACAAUGGGGGCAAGCCUGAUCCAGCGAUACCGCGUGGGUGAAGAAGGCCUUCGGGUUGUAAAGCCCUUUUGUUGGGAAAGAAAAGCAGCAGGUUAAGACCCCGCUGUUCUGACGGUACCCAAAGAAUAAGCACCGGCUAACUUCGUG